rnacentral:rRNA from 1 species
GACGAACGCUGGCGGCGUGCCUAAUACAUGCAAGUUGAGCGCUGAAGGUAGGUACUUGUACCAACUGGAUGAGCAGCGAACGGGUGAGUAACGCGUGGGGAAUCUGCCUUUGAGCGGGGGACAACAGUUGGAAACGAAGGCUAAUACCGCAUAAAAACUUUAAACACAAGUUUUAAGUUUGAAAGAUGCAAUUGCAUUACUCAAAAAUGAGCCCGCGUUGUAUUAGUUAGUUGGUGAGGUAAAGGCUCACCAAGGCGAUGAUACAUAGCCGACCCGAGAGGGUGAUCGGCCACAUUGGGACUGGGACACGGCCCAAGCUCCUACGGGAGGCAGCAGUAGGGAAUCUUCGGCAAUGGACGAAAGUCUGACCGAGCAACGCCGCGUGGGUGAAGAAGGUUUUCGGAUCGUAAAACUCUGUUGGUAGAGAAGAACGUUGGUGAGAGUGGAAAGCUCAUCAAGUGACGGUAACUACCCAGAAAGGGACGGCUAACUACGUGCCAGCCGCCGCGGUAA